UUACCAAAAAGUAGUAUACUUCAAGUUUAUUUUAUUAAGUAUACUUAAGUAAAGUUCAAGUAUGUUUUUAAGUAUACUUUAUGUAGCAAGUAUACAAAUAUCAGUGUUCUAGUAGUAUACUUGUAAGUGUACUAUUUCAAUACUCCUUGGGACUAUAUUGGCCCACUUACUAGUAUAUAAAAGAAUACUUUUAAGUAUACUUUAAGUAUAACAGUAGCAAACUUUGAGUACACUCAGCUCAAACUAGUCUACCUCUAUGUUUGUAGUUUGUACUGCAAUUAUACUAAAAGUGAAUUUAUAGGUAUACUGACAGUUUACUAAUUAAAUACGUUGUACACUUUGAAGUAUAGUCUCAGUAAACUACUAGUUUAGUAGUUUUAUACUGCAAGUAUACUCAUAAGUUUUCUUUAAGUCUACUUUUGUCGGGUCUCGGGCCUAAUCACCUGCCUUUUUUGGUGUGUGUGUGUAUUUGUGUGUGUGUGUGUGUGUGUGUGUGUGUGUGUGUGUUGGAUGGUUUGACAGCUCACCGCGUCUGCCUGUUUGAGUUUUCCCCGCCUUCUUUGUUUCCCCGUUGUUAACCUUAAUUGCUCGCCACCUGUUCUCUAUGUUCUUCUAAUUUUUUCCCUUUAUUAUUCCCUGUGUUUCUCUGUCUAUUGUCAGACUGUUUUUACUCGUUCCAAUAGCUCCGAUCUUCUAGCUGAUCUUGGUACUCACCUUGUCGUGUCUUGUCCUCAGGCUCCAGUGUGUUUAGCUGUUUUCUCUGCCCCUCUGUUCUUACAAGCGCAGAGCUCCUAGAAGCUUCCAGCUGUCAACCCUCCGGUCUCGGCGGUCAUACCUACUAAACUGUGGAACGUUACUCAUCUGCUUCGACUUCUCAUUCUCUCACUACGAGCGAGACUGUGGAACUUUACUCAUCUGCUCUGCCUCCUCUGCUUAAAAAAAGCUCUGUGUAAACCCGCAUCUGAAUCCAGCCUGUUUCUCCUGACAACUUUACAUUAUACUUCAAGUAUACUACUAUGUCCCUAUUUAGGUUUAAUUUGUAUAUAUUUUGUUAUAUGAAUAUCUGAACAUACAAAACAUCCAAAGAAAGAACAGGGUAUCUGCUUGUAAACAAAAACAUUUUAUUCUAGCUUCAUGCAUUCUUUUUU
ensembl:lncRNA